GUCUGGACUCCUGGGAGCUCCGCCGAUCUUGCAGCAGCAAUGGCCGGAGCAGGAGAAGAUGGCGACGAAGUAGCUCCUCCCCCUCCCUCUCCCCCUCCUCUAGCCCAGCAACCCAUGGGCGACGCGGCGGCGGAGCACCACCACGGCGUCGGCGACGAGCCGUCCUUUCGGAUGGAGAACCUUCCUGGGCAACUGCCAUUCCGCCGGUCCCUCUCUUCCCAUUCCUCUCCUCACAUCACAGCAAGGGAAAAUAAUAAUAUUAUUACCCUCAGAUCCAGCCACUACGUGAAAAUUAGUCCUUUGAUGUGAUUCUUGGGGUGUUCCCCUCGGAUCUGAACCUUUGGGGCAAACACAAAAAAAAACUGGUGAAUUAUGGGGUUUCUUGCCUGAUUAUGGUCCAAUCCAUGUCUUUUACUUUU